rnacentral:sRNA from 1 species
CAUACAAAGCUUACAACCCUAAGUAGUGUUUCGUUGUUAGAAGAUACAAAACCAAAGACUCAUACGGAGUUUAGCUACACCAAC